GGAAAACCAACUAUGUGAAUUCAAUUUCCAUGGAACUCUUAGGUGCUGACUUGUUAGAUGAUAACUCGAGAGGUCAGGGUAUACUCCUUUCACCUCUUAAGGCAUAUUACAACAACUUAUGUUAUAUAUUUACCUUUAUUAAGACAUGUAGAUAAAAUAAGAAGUUAUACUUGAGGGGCCGCUUGUUUGACUUAUCUUUAUAACUCUUUGUGUAAAAAUGCACAUUAAGACACAUCUAUAUUUUCUGGGUGCGCUAUUUUGCUUCAAGCAUGAGGUUGGUCCAGACUACCGUCCCUAGCGCCCG
rnacentral:lncRNA from 1 species